CAAUCUGAAAAUGACAGUGAAGAAGUUGGCUCAGAAGUUCUAGAAGGUUUCAAGUUAUCCUUGCCUGCUAUUCAAUUCGAAAAUGUCAAAGACUUUGAGAAUUUCAACAUUCUCGUUGAUGGACUAGUUCUAGAUUCUGAAUUAUCAGAAGAUGUUCGAAGGAAAUAUUACCAGCUCUGCUGCAGUCAGAAUGCUUUUCUUCAUGAAAAUCUUAUCAAGGGCAUCAAUUUUAAGUUGAUUGCAGGAAUCAUUUCUGAAAUUGUUAAUAUCGCUGAUGCCAUAAGAGCUUGUAACCUUACCACCCCACGGAAUGAAUUCAAUACUUGGGACAAGACACUGAAAGCCUCUGAACAUUUUGGNNNNNNNNNNGGAUUUUUACGUGCCAAGCUGAGCCAGCUUGUAAGCCUUGCUUUUGAUUCAGACGGUGCCACAAAGACUCGUAGGUAUAUAGAAGCUAGAAGCGAACAAGUGCACGCAGAAGAUGAGAUAAGAAAUCUUGAAGCAAAGCU
rnacentral:misc_RNA from 1 species